rnacentral:rRNA from 1 species
UACGAAGGGGGCUAGCGUUGCUCGGAAUCACUGGGCGUAAAGCGCACGUAGGCGGCUUCUUAAGUCAGGGGUGAAAUCCUGGAGCUCAACUCCAGAACUGCCUUUGAUACUGGGGAGCUCGAGUCCGGGAGAGGUGAGUGGAACUGCGAGUGUAGAGGUGAAAUUCGUAGAUAUUCGCAAGAACACCAGUGGCGAAGGCGGCUCACUGGCCCGAUACUGACGCUGAGGCACGAAAGCGUGGGGAGCAAACAGG